GUCUAUCUAGUUCUGUAGAGAACAGCAGCGGAGACAUUACUGGUCAAGAGCCACCCAACACAGUCACCAAAAUCAAAGGAACUAAUGAAAUAGGAGGUGAUUCUAAUGGUGAUGUCAAAUUAGUAUGUGAAGAAAGUGCAGAUACUGAGAAGGUAGAGAGCAAUGGCCAAGCGUCACAUAGCACUGUUACAGAGAUUACAGCCAUUGAAGAAAUUAGGCCUGAAUCUAAUGGUUUAAGCAAAAUUGAUGAGAGUGUGGAUGCCGAAAAGGCUGGUAGCAACAACUCACUGGCUACCGACAUUGUUACUGAGAUCAAUAAAUUAGAAGACGAAUCUAAUGGUGCAGAGAAAAUUAACAAUGUGUCUGAGAUCACUGGAAUACAAGUUGAGUCUAAUGGUGCAGAGGAAAUAAGUGAUGAUAAAGUAGCAUGCCAAGAGAGCACAAACACAGAAAAAGGAGAUGAUUCUAAUGGUGAUGUCAAAUUAGUAUGUGAAGAAAGUUCAGAUACUGAGAAGGUAGAGAGCAAUAGCCAAGCGGCACCUAGCACUGUUACAGAGAUCACAGCCAUUGAAGAAAUUAGGCCUGAAUCUAAUGGUUUAAGCAAAAUCGAUGAGAGUGUGGAUGCUGAAAAGGCUGGUAGCAACAAUUCACUUACUACCGACAUUGUUACUGAGAUGAAUGGAUUAGAAGAUGAGUCUAAUGGUGCAGAGAAAAUUAACAACGUUUCUGAGAUAACUGGAAUACAAGUAGAGUCUAAUGGUGCAGAGGAAAUAAGUGAUGAUAAACUAGCAUGCCAAGAGAGCACAAACAGUGAAAAAGGAGGUGAUUCUGAUGGUGAUGUCACAUUAGUAUGUGAAGAAAGUUCAGAUACUGAGAAGGUAGAGAGUAAUGGCCAAGCGGCACCUAGCACUGUUACAGAGAUUACAGCCAUUGAAGAAACUAGGCCUGAAUCUAAUGGUUUAAGCAAAAUCGAUGAGAGUGUGGAUGCUGAAAAGGCUGGUAGCAACAGUUCACUGGCUACCGACAUUGUUACUGAGAUCAAAGGAUUAGAAGAUGAGUCUAAUGGUGCAGAGAAAAUUAACAAUGUUUCUGAGAUCAUUGGAAUACAAGUUGAGUCUAAUGGUGCAGAGGAAAUAAAUGAUGAUAAACUAGCAUGCCAAGAGAGCACAAAUGCUGAAAAUGCAGACAGCCUAAUUCAGAGUGUAUCCAAUGUGGUCAGUGAAAUCAAAAGAACUGAAGAUAUAGAAGGUGAAUCUGAUGUCGCAGACAAAAGGACUGAUGGAAACUCAACCUGUGGAGAAAGGAAGGAUGCUGAAGCAAUGAAUAGUGGAACUCCAGUUCAUACAGGGUGCGUUCCUAACCAUUUAUGUUUUUCGCCUUUAUCUUUCAUUUGGCAUGAUUUAGUAAAAGCAGUCUCUGGACCUGCUUGCCCCCCCUCCCCCCAUCACAAAAAAGGGACAAAGGAUGAAUUUAGACUCAAUUAGUUGAUUAGUACUGUUGUGAGCAGAUUUAGAUGAGCGGGAAAUUAUCCGUUCUUUUUGCUGCUAAAGUGAGAUCUGUGAUCAAUUAAGAUGAAUAUGAUCAAGUCAAUAUCUUUAAUUUUUUACUCUUACCAUUUUUUUAGUAGAUAUGAUAUUUAUAUUCAGGUUGCAGUGAAGUUUAUGUUGCAGCCUGUAACGGAUGUCCUUAUAUUUGAUAUUAUUGAGAAUUCAGAUACACUCUCUUAUCUUUGAAGAACAAAAGAUUUGUCUGAUUCAUUUCUGAUUUUUUGAUGAGAGGUUUCGUAGUCUGCGGACAGAUAUUUACGGUUCUAUCCUCAAUCACCUUUUCUAUUAAGAGAUAUGAGUGCAGGGAGGAGGCUGGGGAUGUGACUUUCCUAUUUAUGUUUCUUCCUUCACUGUCAUGCUCUAUUGGAUGUAUGCGACUUAUAUCCACAUUGCAUUUGGUGGAAGCUUUGUUUUCAGUAUAAGAAUGGAUACACUGGGCUAGGUACCAUUUGCAUGAUAGACUUGAUGUUUUUUUUUUUUUUGAUUUGCACCGGGUGUCCGAGUCUCUUCGAGACUCGACUAAUCCCGGGGGUGCACAGGCCCUCGGCAAGGAGUUUCCCGCAAGUGCAUCACGGUUAAUUCAGGUUUUACCCAGUCCGAUGACCCUCAGAAAUUGUUUGCACCCAGUGGGUUUCGAACUUGAGACCUUGAAAGGGAGCAAACCCCAAGGCUCAAGUCAAUUGCCACCCGGCCAACCUGAGGGUUAGACUUGAUGUUUGUUUAGUAGCUUGAUAUUCGGAGUGCAGUGAUAUUUUAUCUUUUUUCAAAUUGAGCCAGGAUUUUAAACUGAUUAACCAACUUGAAGGGCUUCACAUUAAUUCUCUGUCCGCUAAGUGAUUCUAUUUACUAGAAAACAUAGUGAUGCUGAAUUUUCCCACAUUUCAUCUUUUUAGCUGACAUAAAUUUGCAGCAUUGAUGCUGUCACAUUUGGAAAGGAGAGCACGAAUAACCCGGUUAAUGAUGUUCAAAAUGUGCACAACACUGUCCUCGAGACUAUAUGCAAUGAAGAAAUUGGAAGUGCCUCUAAUGGUGACAAAGAUAUAGAUGACAAAGUGAUGCGCCAAAGAGAUGAGGAGUCUGAAAGAUUGCAGAGUGAUGGUCUAGCUAGUGA
rnacentral:lncRNA from 1 species